UACAGAGGUCUCAAGCGUUGUUCGGAUUCAUUGGGCGUAAAGGGUGCGUAGGCGGCGCGGUAAGUCGGGUGUGAAAUCUCGGGGCUUAACUCCGAAACUGCAUUCGAUACUGCCGUGCUUGAGGACUGGAGAGGAGACUGGAAUUUACGGUGUAGCGGUGAAAUGCGUAGAUAUCGUAAGGAAGACCAGUGGCGAAGGCGGGUCUCUGUACAGUUCCUGACGCUGAGGCACGAAGGUCAGGGGAGCAAACGGG
rnacentral:rRNA from 1 species